rnacentral:tRNA from 1 species
GCGAAAGUGGCGGAAUGGUAGACGCGCUGGAUUUAGGAUCCAGUGGGCUUUGCCCGUGCGAGUUCGAGUCUCGCCUUUCGCACCA